UUGACACGAGGCGGACUGAG
rnacentral:miRNA from 1 species